rnacentral:lncRNA from 1 species
AUCAUCCUAAAUGUAUGUACCAAUGCUUAGGAGUUUGCAGUUCACCCGCAAACCUCAGCGAUCCAAGCUCCCCUGGAUGACCAUCACUCACCAAGAAAAGAACAAUAACAGGACCUGUUUUGCUAAUCCAGGACUGUUCUCCAGCACUAACUCUAAAUAAUCCCUUCUGCUAGAGUCCACUUUCUGGAACCUGUUGCCUCCGUUUUCAACGUUUCCCAAACUUGGUCCGUUGUGUGAGCUGGCUGAUAAAAGUUCCAGUCAGUAAAUUGCAGAUGUAAGAUUCAAAACCAGACUUCACAUCUACCGACUUCAGUGACCCUGAAAUUUGUUCACAGAGAGCAUUUAACAUAACUGUCUUCAUCAUCUCCUUCUCUACAUUAAAAAUUAUGGAAAAUACAGGGAGGUGUGAUGUACCCAUUAUCACAAGCAGAUGGAAUGCCUAUAGAGUCGGAUCUCAUCUACAUAUCACCUAUUAUAUGUAGUUAUUGAUGGAUAAAUACUUCAACAGCUAAAGGCAGGAAGAGAGCAGUUCACACAGACGUUAUUGGUGAUUCACUCUUGAGUCAUGAAAAGUCAACCUUGAGCCACAGAAAGUCAACCUUGAGCCAUGCAGAGUGGAGAGUCAUACAUGCCAUUCCUGGGACCAUCAAAAAUGGCAGAGGUCACACAAAAGGCAAAACUUUUAAGAGGUGUUUUAAACGUCGUAUGGGCCAAAGAGAAGCUGGAUUUCCUAUUGGAGUCAGCUGUAACACACGUGUGAUGAAAUUGGCCUGUGAGGACAAGGCAGUGAGCAGAGAGGACAGCAGUCCUUAUGAGAUCAAGCUCUAAGUUUUGAGAAGAAUGCGAAGAAGAAAGGAAGAGUGAGCCUCUCUUUCCCAUCGUUACCCUCCAUUGUCCUCUUGACACCCUGCUUUCACAGAGAAAGAGUUUGAGACCCUCUCCCAGGAGCCAAGGAGAGGGGAACAGCUGGCUUCACAUCAUCUUUCUAUUCAACAAGAUACAAAAAGCUGAAGCCAGGAUGAUAGAAAA